AUUGAACACUGGCGGCAGGCUUAACACAUGCAAGUCGAGCGGAGAUGAGGUGCUUGCACCUUAUCUUAGCGGCGGACGGGUGAGUAAUGCUUAGGAAUCUGCCUAUUAGUGGGGGACAACAUUCCGAAAGGAAUGCUAAUACCGCAUACGCCCUACGGGGGAAAGCAGGGGAUCUUCGGACCUUGCGCUAAUAGAUGAGCCUAAGUCGGAUUAGCUAGUUGGUGGGGUAAAGGCCUACCAAGGCGACGAUCUGUAGCGGGUCUGAGAGGAUGGUCCGCCACACUGGGACUGAGACACGGCCCAGACUCCUACGGGAGGCAGCGGUGGGGAAUAUUGGACAAUGGGCGGAAGCCUGAUCCAGCCAUGCCGCGUGUGUGAAGAAGGCCUUUUGGUUGUAAAGCACUUUAAGCGAGGAGGAGGCUACCUGGAUUAAUACUCUAGGAUAGUGGACGUUACUCGCAGAAUAAGCACCGGCUAACUCUGUGCCAGCCGCCGCAGUAAGAC
rnacentral:rRNA from 1 species